rnacentral:rRNA from 1 species
GACGAACGCUGGCGGCGUGCUUAACACAUGCAAGUCGAACGGAAAGGCUCCAGCUUGCUGGAGUACUCGAGUGGCGAACGGGUGAGUAACACGUGGGUAAUCUGCCCUGCACUCUGGGAUAAGCCUGGGAAACUGGGUCUAAUACUGGAUAUGACCUUUCUCCUUAUGGGGUUUGGUGGAAAGUUUUUCGGUGUAGGAUGAGCCCGCGGCCUAUCAGCUUGUUGGUGGGGUGAUGGCCUACCAAGGCGACGACGGGUAGCCGGCCUGAGAGGGUGAUCGGCCACAUUGGGACUGAGAUACGGCCCAGACUCCUACGGGAGGCAGCAGUGGGGAAUAUUGCACAAUGGGCGGAAGCCUGAUGCAGCGACGCCGCGUGAGGGAUGACGGCCUUCGGGUUGUAAACCUCUUUCAGCAGGGACGAAGCGUAAGUGACGGUACCUGCAGAAGAAGCACCGGUUAACUAUGUG